GACUGGUCCAAAGGUAGUGAGUUAUCUCAAUUGAUUGUUCACAGUCAGUUACAGAUCAAACUCCUUGUUCAACUCUUUCCCCUCUUCUCACUACUGCUCUUGACUAGUCUAAA
ensembl:misc_RNA Y_RNA Y RNA